rnacentral:lncRNA from 1 species
UCUUACUGGUCCUUCUUGGUUCCUUGCCCGGUAUGAAGCUAUCCGAGAUGAAUUGGCCUCCGCUCGUGCUAGUGAAUACUCAGAGGUCUGGUAUUCCUAUUUGGCUCCGAGAGAUCUUCAUGUGGGGUUGAAAUCGUGCUCCAAACUAUUACCAAGCACUGAAGUUUAUUCUUCUCAGUAUGUGGCCCGUCAGUUUGGAUUUGUUCAGCCGAUUCCCGCUCCAUCUAAAUUUUUUACAACUAAUACAGCCGAUCAUCGACCCCCUACUAAAAGUAUAGCCGAAGCUGAUAAGAUUUCGGCUAUGGAAAAUCGCCUUCGUCGAUUCUUUAAAUUAGUGAGCUUCAGGCCGAACUACACAGGAGUUGCUCUUGCUGGUUAUGCUACCAUCUGGGACCAUUUUACUGACUGUACUCUCGACCUUUCUCUUCUUCAGGCAUUCCGAAGAACUAUUCAUCCUGUUGUUUCAGCUGAUCCUCCUGUCUCAUCACCAAGAGAAGAAAUAGAAGAGGCUUCUGAGGUCAGGCCUCUUUCUUUUGUAAUGUACUCACUUCUAUUUUAACUUUCUUUUCAAUAUCCCAAAUACUUAUUUUCCUUUUCUGCAGUCAACUCCAGUUUCUUCAUCGGUCCCAGCUUCAGAAAAAAGACCGAUUGAGACCACUCAAUUUACUCCUCCGCUGC